rnacentral:lncRNA from 1 species
UCGGAGCCAAAACGUAUAGUGGGCUCUCUCUCUCUCUCUCUCUCUUUUUCUCACUUAUCUUAGAGAGAGGGAGAUGCGAUUUUUCUUUCCGAUUUCAGAUCUCUGAUCGAAAAUCGGUUUUAACUUCCGGCUGUAUCCGGAUCUUAUGCUUUGUUUAUAUAACUUCAAAUUUUAGUUCGGAUUUCUUUAUUUUUAGUUUUGUAGUUUCAGUUCUACUCAUCCUUAUGAGCUUAAUUUGAUUUCUUUUUAAUCAGUUGGCUUAGUUUUUCUUUCUGGCGAGAGUAAUGUCUUUGUUAUUCCCUUAGUAGAGCCUUCAUAUAUAGGCUAUGAAGCAAAGCUUUUCACGGGUUGAAGAAUUGAUUUGGCUUUUUGACAAAGGAGAAAUCGAUUCUCUUGCAAAGUGAUAGUUGAAGGAGGGAGGGUGGUCAAUAAGAUUCAUGGUGCUCUGAGUUAAAGUCAUCGGAGAUCAAUCUUCGGAAACUUUUUCGACCAGCGGUGGUUGUCGGUGGAGUUUCCUUCUCGGAGAAUUAUUGAAGGCCACGUGUGGAACGCGUGUCUCUUGUUACAAUCUUUAUCAAAAAUCUUUGAUAAAUGGGCUUAUUGUAAAUUUUCGUUUUCGGACUUCAUAUCCAAUUAUAUUUUAUGGGCCAAAUUUUGGCUAUCAAUGAAAAUAUUGCCGACAAAAAAUAAAUAAAUGGGUGUGAUACGUUGUAUUACGUAGCACCGAAAUAGUAAGCUAGAUCCUUCUCCUUUUCCUUUGACAGUUCUUCUUUUGUUUGGGCUUUACGUGUUGGGCUUUUUGUUUUGAAAGGUCAUUAUCUUUAAC